ensembl:snRNA U6 U6 spliceosomal RNA
GUGCUUGCUUCGGCAGCACAUAUAUUAAAAUUGGAAUGAUACAAAGAAGAUUAGCAUGGUGCAGAAUUAAAUAGAGAAUUCUCAACAGAGGAAUCUAAAAUGGCU